CAGCAGCCGCGGGAAUACGUAGGGUGCAAGCGUUAAUCGGAAUUACUGGGCGUAAAGCGUGCGCAGGCGGUUCUAUAAGACAGAUGUGAAAUCCCCGGGCUCAACCUGGGAACUGCAUUUGUGACUGUAGAGCUGGAGUGCGGCAGAGGGGGAUGGAAUUCCGCGUGUAGCAGUGAAAUGCGUAGAUAUGCGGAGGGACACCGAUGGCGAAGGCAAUCCCCUGGGCCUGCACUGACGCUCAUGCACGAAAGCGUGGGGAGCAAACAGGAUUAGAGACCCCAGUAGUCCCUGUCUCUUAUAA
rnacentral:rRNA from 1 species